GCCAGGGUGACGUAGAGGUUAGCGCAUCUGUCUAGUGAGCAGAAGACCAGGGUUCGAAUCCCGGCCUUGGUA